rnacentral:SRP_RNA from 1 species
CCGUGCUAAAUGGGGAGCUAGCGGUUCCUUGUAACCUGAAAUCCGCUUAUGCAGGGUUGACCGCUUUUUUGAGGUUUUCCUGACUGCUGGCGCUGUUCAGGUAAGUGGCGAUGAAGGCUGGGUCUCAUGCAAUAAGUCCAUGUGAACCUGGUCAGAUGCGGAAGCAAGCAGCCAUAAGCAUCGGUUCUUAUGUGCCUUGAGGGCGCCUGGUCUGAGCCAACUGCCUGGAUGGGUUAACAGAAAGAAAAAUCGAGAAAAAGUGCACGG